UACGUAGGAGGCAAGCGUUGUCCGGAAUUACUGGGCGUAAAGCGCGUGUAGGCGGUCUGAAUAGUCUGCUGUGAAAGCGCCUGGCUUAACCGGGCGAGGUCGGCGGAAACUCUCAGACUGGAGGCCGGUAGAGGGGGGUGGAAUUCCCGGUGUAGUGGUGAAAUGCGUAGAGAUCGGGAGGAACACCUGUGGCGAAGGCGGCCCCCUGGGCCGCGCCUGACGCUGAGGCACGAAAGCUAGGGGAGCAAACAGG
rnacentral:rRNA from 1 species